AUUGAACGCUGGCGGCAAGCCUAACCCAUGCAAGUCGAACGAGUGGCGGACGGGUGAGUAAUGUCUGGGAAACUGCCUGAUGGAGGGGGAUAACUACUGGAAAAGGUAGCUAAUACAGCAUACCAUCGGAUGUGCCCAGAUGGGAUUAGCUAGUAGGUGGGGGAAUGGCUCACUUAGGCGACGAUCCCUAGCUGGUCUGAGAGGAUGACCAGCUAGACGCGAACGGAGACACGGUCCAGAUGCCUACGGUAGGCAGCAGUGGGUAAUAUUGCACAAUGGGCGCAAGCCUGAUGCAGCCAUGCCGCGUGUAUGAAUAAGGCCUUCGGGUUGUAAAGUACUUUCAGCGGGGAGGCGUUACCCGCAGAAGAAGCACCGGCUAAGUACGGGCCAGCAGCCGCGGUAAUAC
rnacentral:rRNA from 1 species